GGAAGGUCCGGGCGUUAUCCGGAUNUUAUUGGGUNUAAAGGGAGCGCAGGCCGCCGGGCAAGCGUGUUGUGAAAUGCAGUCGCUCAACGUCUGCACUGCAGCGCGAACUGCCCAGCUUGAGUGCGCGCAACGUUGGCGGAAUUCGCCGUGUAGCGGUGAAAUGCUUAGAUAUGGCGAAGAACUCCGAUUGCGAAGGCAGCUGACGGGUGCGUAACUGACGCUCAUGCUCGAAAGUGCGGGUAUCGAACAGGAUUAGAUACCCUGGUAGUCCGCACGGUAAACGAUGGAUGCCCGCUAUUCGGCCCAUGUGGUUGAGUGGCCAAGCGAAAGCGUUAAGCAUCCCACCUGGGGAGU
rnacentral:rRNA from 1 species